rnacentral:rRNA from 1 species
UUAUUGGGCGUAAAGAGCUUGUAGGCGGUUUGUCGCGUCUGCUGUGAAAGGCCGGGGCUUAACCCCGUGUAUUGCAGUGGGUACGGGCAGACUAGAGUGCAGUAGGGGAGACUGGAACUCCUGGUGUAGCGGUGGAAUGCGCAGAUAUCAGGAAGAACACCGGUGGCGAAGGCGGGUCUCUGGGCCGUUACUGACGCUGAGGAGCGAAAGCGUGGGGAGCGAACAGGAUUAGAUACCCUGGUAGUCCACGCUGUAAACGAUGCUAACUCGUUUUUGGUUUAUAUAUGAAUCAGAGACUAAGCGAAAGUGAUAAGUUAGCCACCUGGGGAGUACGCUCGCAAGAGUGAAACUCAAAGGAAUUGACGGGGGCCCGCACAAGCGGUGGAUUAUGUGGUUUAAUUCGAUGAUACGCGAGGAACCUUACCAAGGCUUAAAUGGGAAUUGACGAGCUUAGAAAUAGGCUUUUCUUCGGACAAUUUUCAAGGUGCUGCAUGGUUGUCGUCAGCUCGUGCCGUGAGGUGUUAGGUUAAGUCCUGCAACGAGCGCAACCCCUGUCACUAGUUGCCAUCAUUAAGUUGGGGACUCUAGUGAGACUGCCUACGCAAGUAGAGAGGAAGGUGGGGAUGACGUCAAAUCAUCACGGCCCUUACGCCUUGGGCCACACACGUAAUACAAUGGUCAGUACAGAGGGCAGCUACACAGUGAUGUGAUGCAAAUCUCGAAAGCUGAUCUCAGUUCGGAUUGGAGUCUGCAACUCGACUCUAUGAAGCUGGAAUCGCUAGUAAUCGCGCAUCAGCCAUGGCGCGGUGAAUACGUUCCCGGGCCUUGUACACACCGCCCGUCAAGCCAUGGGAGUCUGGAGUACCUAAAGUCCGUAACCGCGAGGGUCGGCCUAGGGUAAUACAGGUGACUGGGGCUAAGUCGUAACAAGGUAGCCGUACCGGAAGGUGCGGCUG